AGGAGUUUGAUCCUGGGCUCAGAUUGAACGCUGGCGGCAUGCCUAACACAUGCAAGUCGAACGGUAACGAUGGAAGCUUGCUUCCAGGCGACGAGUGGCGGACGGGUGAGUAAUACUUAGGAAUCUGCCCAGUAGUGGGGGACAACUCGAGGAAACUCGAGCUAAUACCGCAUACGCCCUACGGGGGAAAGCGGAGGAUCUUUCGGGACUUCGCGCUAUUGGAUGAGCCUAAGUCGGAUUAGCUUGUUGGUGGGGUAAAGGCCUACCAAGGCAACGAUCUGUAGCUGGUCUGAGAGGACGAUCAGCCACACUGGGACUGAGACACGGCCCAGACUCCUACGGGAGGCAGCAGUGGGGAAUAUUGGACAAUGGGGGCAACCCUGAUCCAGCAAUGCCGCGUGUGUGAAGAAGGCCUGCGGGUUGUAAAGCACUUUCAGUAGAGAAGAAAUGCCCAUGGUUAAUACCCGUGGGUCUUGACGUAACCUACAGAAGAAGCACCGGCUAACUCCGUGCCAGCAGCCGCGGUAAUACGGAGGGUGCGAGCGUUAAUCGGAAUUACUGGGCGUAAAGCGCGCGUAGGCGGUUUGGUCAGUCGGAUGUGAAAGCCCUAGGCUCAACCUGGGAAUGGCAUUCGAUACUGCCUGACUAGAGUAUGGUAGAGGGAAGUGGAAUUUCCGGUGUAGCGGUGAAAUGCGUAGAUAUCGGAAGGAACACCAGUGGCGAAGGCGACUUCCUGGGCCAAUACUGACGCUUGAGGUGCGAAAGCGUGGGGAGCAAA
rnacentral:rRNA from 1 species